rnacentral:rRNA from 1 species
CCUACGGGGUGCUGCAGUGGGGAAUAUUGGACAAUGGGCGAAAGCCUGAUCCAGCCAUGCCGCGUGUGUGAAGAAGGCCUUCGGGUUGUAAAGCACUUUCAGUGGGGAAGAAAGCCUUGGGGCUAAUACCCUCGAGGAAGGACAUCACCCACAGAAGAAGCACCGGCUAACUCCGUGCCAGCAGCCGCGGUAAUACGGAGGGUGCGAGCGUUAAUCGGAAUUACUGGGCGUAAAGCGCGCGUAGGCGGUCUGAUAAGCCGGUUGUGAAAGCCCCGGGCUCAACCUGGGAACGGCAUCCGGAACUGUCAGGCUAGAGUGCAGGAGAGGAAGGUAGAAUUCCCGGUGUAGCGGUGAAAUGCGUAGAGAUCGGGAGGAAUACCAGUGGCGAAGGCGGCCUUCUGGACUGACACUGACGCUGAGGUGCGAAAGCGUGGGUAGCAAACAGGAUUAGCUACCCCAGUAGUC